rnacentral:rRNA from 1 species
AACGAACGCUGGCGGCAGGCUCAACACAUGCAAGUCGAACGCCCCGCAAGGGGAGUGGCAGACGGGUGAGUAACGCGUGGGAAUCUACCCAGAUCUUCGGAACAACCCAGGGAAACUUGGGCUAAUACCGGAUACGCCCUACGGGGGAAAGAUUUAUCGGUUCUGGAUGAGCCCGCGUUGGAUUAGCUAGUUGGUGGGGUAAUGGCCUACCAAGGCGACGUUCCAUAGCUGGUCUGAGAGGAUGAUCAGCCACACUGGGGAUGAGACACGGCCCAGACUCCUACGGGGGGCAGCAGUGGGGAAUAUUGGACAAUGGGCGAAAGCCUGAUCCAGCCAUGCCGCGUGAGUGAGGAAGGCCUUAGGGUUGUAACGCUCUUUCAGUAGGGAAGAUAAUGACGGUACCUACAGAAGAAGCCCCGGCUAACUUCGUGCCAGCAGCCGCAGUAAUAC